rnacentral:rRNA from 1 species
CAUGCAGGUGGUCUGUUAAGUCAGAUGUGAAAGCCCGGGGCUUAACCUCGGAAUCGCAUUUGAAACUGGCAGGCUAGAGUACUGUAGAGGGGGGUAGAAUUUCAGGUGUAGCGGUGAAAUGCGUAGAGAUCCGAAGGAAUACCGGUGGCGAAGGCGGCCCCCUGGACAGAUACUGACACUCAGAUGCGAAAGCGUGGGGAGCAAACA